GACGAACGCUGGCGGCGUGCUUAACACAUGCAAGUCGAACGAAAAGGCCCUGCUUUUGUGGGGUGCUCGAGUGGCGAACGGGUGAGUAACACGUGAGUAACCUGCCCUUGACUUUGGGAUAACUUCAGGAAACUGGGGCUAAUACCGGAUAGGAGCUCCUGCUGCAUGGUGGGGGUUGGAAAGUUUCGGCGGUUGGGGAUGGACUCGCGGCUUAUCAGCUUGUUGGUUGGGUAGUGGCUUACCAAGGCUUUGACGGGUAGCCGGCCUGAGAGGGUGACCGGCCACAAUAGGACUGAGAGACGGCCCAGACUCCUACGGGAGGCAGCAGUGGGGAAUAUUGCACAAUGGGCGGAAGCCUGAUGCAGCAACGCCGCGUGCGGGAUGACGGCCUUCGGGUUGUAAACCGCAUUCGCCUGUGACGAAGCGUGAGUGACGGUAAUAGGUAAAGAAGCACCGGCUAACUACGUG
rnacentral:rRNA from 1 species